CGUGAGGGAUGACGGCCUUCGGGUUGUAAACCUCUUUCAGUAGGGAAGAAGCGAAAGUGACGGUACCUGCAGAAGAAGCACCGGCUAACUACGUGCCAGCAGCCGCGGUAAUACGUAGGGUGCGAGCGUUAUCCGGAAUUAUUGGGCGUAAAGAGCUCGUAGGCGGUUUGUCGCGUCUGUCGUGAAAGUCCGGGGCUUAACCCCGGAUCUGCGGUGGGUACGGGCAGACUAGAGUGCAGUAGGGGAGACUGGAAUUCCUGGUGUAGCGGUGGAAUGCGCAGAUAUCAGGAGGAACACCGAUGGCGAAGGCAGGUCUCUGGGCUGUAACUGACGCUGAGGAGCGAAAGCAUGGGGAGCGAACAGGAUUAGAUACCCUGGUAGUCCAUGCCGUAAACGUUGGGCACUAGGUGUGGGGAACAUUCCACGUUUUCCGCGCCGCAGCUAACGCAUUAAGUGCCCCGCCUGGGGAGUACGGCCGCAAGGCUAAAACUCAAAGGAAUUGACGGGGGCCCGCACAAGCGGCGGAGCAUGCGGAUUAAUUCGAUGCAACGCGAAGAACCUUACCAAGGCUUGACAUGUUCUCGAUCGCCGUAGAGAUACGGUUUCCCCUUUGGGGCGGGUUCACAGGUGGUGCAUGGUUGUCGUCAGCUCGUGUCGUGAGAUGUUGGGUUAAGUCCCGCAACGAGCGCAACCCUCGUUCCAUGUUGCCAGCACUUCGGGUGGGGACUCAUGGGAGACUGCCGGGGUCAACUCGGAGGAAGGUGGGGACGACGUCAAAUCAUCAUGCCCCUUAUGUCUUGGGCUUCACGCAUGCUACAAUGG
rnacentral:rRNA from 1 species